rnacentral:rRNA from 1 species
UACGUAGGGUGCGAGCGUUGUCCGGAAUUACUGGGCGUAAAGAGCUCGUAGGCGGUUUGUCGCGUCGUCCGUGAAAACCUGGGGCUCAACUCUGGGCGUGCGGUCGAUACGGGCAUCACUGGAGUUCGGCAGGGGAGACUGGAAUUCCUGGUGUAGCGGUGGAAUGCGCAGAUAUCAGGAGGAACACCGGUGGCGAAGGCGGUUCUCUGGGCCUUACCUGACGCUGAGGAGCGAAAGCGUGGGGAGCGAACAGG